CCGGGAGGGAGGCACCGCGGUGAUUCCAUUUUACAGAGGAGGACACUGUCUUGGAGAGUCGGAGCCUCCUGCCCCAGACAAAGCAGAGAACCAGGGAGCAAGUCCAGAUAUUUCCUUCUGCAGUACUGGUGGCCACGACCUUGAGAGAGGUCCUUGGAGGCACGUGGUGGGCACCCAGCCUCUAUGCUGGACACCAUGGGAGUCUUUGGCAGUCCUUCCCAUCCAGUCCCCUGCCUUGACGUACAACCCACAGCAAAGGUCCCAGAGUGGACACAAUAUCUAUUUAUUUUUAUGUGGGGUGCUGAGGAUCGAACCCAGUGCCUCGAACAUGCCAGGCCAGCGCACUACCAUUUGAGCCGCAGCCCUACCCCUCCCUGUUUUCUUGAUGGACAAGACCAGGUGCUCGGGGAGGGCGUCCCCAAACUGGGCACCAUCGUGUGUGAGUCGAACCCAGUCUCAGCCAACUUUCUGCAAAGGAGCAUCUAGUCAGCGUUUUGGGCCACGGACACCGUUGGGGCGAAUUCUUUCUGUUGGGACCACCACAUGCUGUCCCCCAGGACGGGCCCCUGAGUAAUGGGGUUUCACCUCAGAGGGAGAAGGCCCUUCCUGUUCUCCAGCCACCGUGGGUGUCCAGGCCCUCAGGCCGCGGCAGGACGGUUCCAGUCUCCGCUGGUCUCCUGGUGUCUGUCUCUCCUCAGGACACUCGCCAUCGGAGCCCCCCACCCAUUAGUCCAGGACAAUUUUACCUUGAGGCUCUUGGUCACAUCUGCAAAGACUCUUCCCGAUCAAAGUGACAGGCUCAGGCUCUGUGAUGAGAGUGUGGACAGACCUUUUGGGAGGCCACCGGUCCUUUGCACAGAACCAUUUCCGGUGGCUCACAGUGACGGCAUUGACAUCAUGUGACAGCAGAGGCUCCUGGGGGCCGGGCGCCGGUGACCGCAAGGCCGUCUCUUCUGGAAGCCCCUGGCCUGAGUCUCCGGCCAGGGCUGGCCAGCUCCUCUCUCCCAGUCCUGAACACACCCACGCACACGUGAACACACCUGUCUGCACACCCUCUCUGCCCCACAUUCCCACGCGCACUCUGUUCACAGGCCCACUGCGGUGAGUCUUAUGAAUGCUCAGGCCGGUGGGGACUUCGGGGACACUUUGGACACUAGGCACAGACGCUCUCAGCCACCUGGCCUAGGAGGGGAGGCUCCCUUUCAGAGUGAAACCCAGAGUGACCUCCGCAGCUUCUUCUGUCCUCUCCCCUCCCCUGCCAGGCCCGUGCGCUCUGGGCAGCAGUGUCCUCCGGCUGGCAGAGCCUCUCAGUGCCUCUGACCUGCCCCUGGAGAGGCAGGGCUUGUGGGUCCCGUUCUCUGCUCCAGCCCCGCACCCUUCAUAGGGCGCUGGGGGAACGUGGGAGCGAGGGGCUGGGUGGGACAGUGCUGGUGACAGCUCUGAGCCCACCACACCUCCCCCAGCCGGGCCUAGGCCCGCUCCUGGCCCAUGACCACAGGGCCCAGGCUUGGGGGAGAGUCCUGCACUUACAGACCCAGGCCACAGUCCCCCACCCCCCACCCCCCUGCUGGCAGCUUCUGGAACCCCCCUGCUGCCCGGAGUCUGUAGGUGCAUACAAAGCCAUGUUCCGUCUUGUCUUCUUUUUUUUUUGGUACUGAAGAUUGAACCCACAGGUGGUAACCACUGAGCCACAUUUUCAGCCGGUUCCCUUCUCUUUAAAAUGUUUUGGUUGGAGACAGGCCCUCGCUGAGUUGCUUAGGGCCUCGCCGAGUUGCAGAGGCUGGUUUAGCUGAUGUGAUCCUGCUGUCUGAGCCGCUCCCGCUGCUGGGAUUAUAGGCGUGUGCCACCGUGCCUGGCUUGGUCAUCAUUUAAAAUGACUAGUGCACAGGCAUCUGGGACGUGUCUGCACAGGUGACCUUGUGUGACCUGUCAGCAGAUGCUGGCAUCCUCAGGAGAGGACGCUGAGCCUUUGUGAGGCCAAGGACCCUCUGGGAUUGUGCAGGCCAGGCAGGGACCUGACCCACGGUGGGCUGGGGCUCUGCCUGCCUCUGUCCGGCUUUGCUUUCUCUUGCAGAGGACAAUGGGGGAGAAGAGCCGGUGGCCCCUGCUCCCUGCCUUCCUCACCCAUCUGGGAGGCUGCUGAUUCACCCUCUCAAAGCGUCCUCCGUGGGCCACUCAUCCCCGUGCCACCACCAUUGGAGCCACCAUCUGUCCCCUGGACAGUUGUGCCAAGGCCUCACUGUCUCCCCUGGGGACCUUCCCUCCUGUCUUCCCAUGGCCACUGUCUCUGCUUGAACCUCCCCCACUCUGUUGUGAGCGAGCCACACCAGCAACACGACCAAACACACCCGUGUCUUUCCA